ensembl:lncRNA
AAACAUUUAUUAUCUAUCAUAAAUGCUUUAAUGCCAUCUAGCGGCGAAUAUCUGUACCGUAAUGCGUUACUUAUUUUGUAUUUUUGAAUCAUAUAGGCUAUCCUUAUAUUUCAAAGCAUGGCUUCUGCUGGACAAUUUAAUAUUUUGUUAAUUUUAUUUUGAGAAAACGAGCCUUCAGACAUCAACGUACAAUGGUCGUACAAUUUUAUAAUCACUGUACAAUGUUAGUGUUUUUAAAGUUAUAUCCUUUUUUCGUUCAGACAUUUGCUCUUUCGAAGAGUGAACAGAGUGAUGUCUGCUUGUAGUGAGUUAUUUCAGUGAAUUGUAACCCCGCCCACAUUCACGAGGAGCCACCGGGCGGCACAACAGGUCUCUGUGGAGACUUUGACAGGCACAGAGCAGUUGCCAAGGUUUAAAUGCAAAAAGUCUGAGGAUCAGAUUAAAUCUUUGGAUCGAUACGAAACCCCUUAUAUAUUUAAAAAUAAAAAAUAUUAACUGAGAGGAACGAAGAGUGGCUUUCAACCGGUCCCGCACAGGGAUGUAUGGAUUAGGCACUGGAGUGACAGGAAUCCAGAAUGAGGAAGUGUGACUCUGUCAAAUCCCUGUUGGAUCAGUGUGUUGCUGCUAGUAGAGACCAGAUGAUGAUGGGUGAUCUAGGAUCGUGUAGCUGAGGUCAAAGUUCUUCCAGUUCAGUCAUUACAGAAACUGUAUGAAGAGUGAUGGCUCCUGUUGAGGAGGGUCUGAUCACCUGGUUAUCAGGUUGUUCUUCCUCCCUUCAGAUUAGCAUCGUGUCAGCCAUCUUCAUCAUUAUUUAUGUCACAGUCUACAGCCUUUGUACAAGCUGUUUCAGUAUGUCUGACAGUGUUUCACCCAGACAUUUGCACAGACGAGAGAAAACAAAUAUUCCAUCGGCACCUCAACAAAAUAAACUACCUGAGCCCCAGAGUGUUGAAUAUAUGCCAGAUGCCAAGGAUCUAACUGAUCAUAUAUACUCAUUCGUGGAGGCUGAACUGAAUGAGGAAAAUCCUUAUGAGUGCAUUAGUGAGCCUCCUUUACAGCCUCCAUCUGACAAACCUGACGGGGAGAAUGAGAGCCCUUCCCAAGCAAUGACAAAGCCUGAUGAUAAUCACUCUGUCUCAGCCCUCAACAAACCAGUAAAUAAGCAGGCAGUGGAGCAGCCUGAUGCUUUACCUCAACAUUUGACCAACUCAGAACCGACUGCUGUCUAUGCUGCAGUGAACUGGAAAACCAAAAGUCAGAAGAACAUAACACCUCUAUCUGAUACAGAUACUGUGGUUGAUAUGAGUGAUAUUGCUAAGGAGACUGUUCCUCCCAUUCCAGACAAACAUUUCUAGUAUGACGAAAGGGCAAUGUUUUGAUUUUCAAUGCAUUAUUUGUAUUUAUUCAUAUUUUGCAAGCCUUAUAAAACAAACACGCAACACAUAUAAACAUGUUGUUAACAAUAAAUAUUCUUGUAUUUAUUGCUAUUUAUCAUGUGAACUAAUAAAUAUAUACAUUCUUACAUUGCCACAACUUCAUUUAAAACUAUAAAGGAAGCCAACCGUGUCUGGGUUAUUGUAGGUCAGAGUGAGUCACAUGACACAGUGGCUUGGGCCAAUACCCAGACUGGAUUCAGAGACUGAAACCCAACAUGCUUGUGCUCUCCAGACCUAAAAUCCCUAUUGGAGGAUGAAGACCGUUGGGCACGGCCACCGACAGAAGAAAGCUUAUAAUCCCCAGACAUCAUUACAUGAUGAACGCUUUCUUCCAAAUGUCUGUUGCAAAUACACAAUGCUGAAUAUUUAAGAAACAGACCAAAUGAUGUAGGUGAAAGGUGACAUGUCAGUGGACUGCUCUGGAAACUGCAGAAUGCUGUCUAAACUGGACAAUUAACUUAGAAUUACUUAAAAUAAUACUGCAAGCAAAUAAUUAUACAUUAAUACUACAUUGCUAUCAUCUAUCUAUAUAUACAGUGGGUGUAAAAAAAGAAUCACUCCCCUUUAAUCACAUUUUGUUGCUUUGCAGCCUGAAAUGAAGACAGGCACAGUUUAGUAUCAUCCAAGUGAAAGAUAUAACACCAACAUGUCAGAAAAAAAUACAGAAUCACUGAGUUGGAAAAAGGAUCACGCCCUUGUGUCAGUAUUUUGUUGAACCACCUUUUGCUUUAAUUACAGCCUUUAGUCUGUUGGGAAAUGUCUCUGUCUCUACUAACUUUGCACAUCUAGAGUUUGCAAAAUUUGCCCACUCUUGUUUGCAGAACUGCUCAAGUUCAGUUCAAUUUGAUGGUGACCAUUUGUGGACUAUAGUCUUCAAGUCAUUCCACAGAUUUUCAAUGGGGUUUAUUUAAGUCUGGGUUCUGACUAGGCCAUGCAAGGACAUUCACCUUUUUCUCCUUUAACCACUGUGUGCUCAGUUUUGCUCUGUGUUUUGGGUCAUUGUCAUGUUGGAAGGUAAACCUUCUUCCCAUUGACAACUUUCUGGCAGAGGGCAGCAGAUUUUCGUCAAGAAUUUGAUGGUAUUUUGCCCCAUCCAUUUUUCUGUCUAUCCUGACAAGAGUUCCAGUACCUGCUGCAGAGAAACAUCCAUGCUUUACUGUAUAAGUGGUGUUAUGUGGAUGGUGAGCUGUAUUGGAUUUCUGCCAGACAGAUGCCAAAUAAUUUUAUAAAAAAAUUAAUUAAUCUCAUCUGCCUCAGAAUCUUCAAGGUGUGUUUUGGCAAAGCUCAGUCGUGACUGCAUGUGGCCUUUCUUGAAGAGUGGCUUUUUUCUUGCAGCGCUCCCAUACAAGCUACAUUUGUGGAGAAUUUGUGAUAGUGUUGUCACAUGCACACAAUGACCACUCUUUGUCAUAAAUUCCUGCAACUGCUUCAGCAUUGCUGUAGGCCUCUUGGUAUUCUCUCUGACCAGUUUCCUCAUAACUCUUUCAUCUAGUUUGGAGUGACGUCCUGAUCCAGGGAGGAUCUGUGCUGUGCCAAAUUAGCUUCCACUUCUUAAUAAUAGACUUCACUGUGCUUCUAGGCAUUGAUAAAACCUUUGAAUUUUGUUUUGUAUCUAUCUCCUGACUUGUGCCUGUCCACAACUUUUCCCAGAGAUGUUUUGACAGUGCCUUGCCACCCAUAGUUGAUUGUUUGCUUCAGAUGCACUGCCAAGGACUGAAAUGUUCCAGGAAAGCUCUUUACAUUCUGAGCUAAUCAAAAUGACCACAGCUGAGUUUACAAGUUAUUUUUAGGAGGGGUUGAUGCUUUUUUUCAAAAAGACGAUUCAGUGAUUCUGUUUUUUAUUUAUUUUUUGUGGUGCUAUAUCUUUCACUUGGAUGUUAUAGUAAAUACAGCUGGAUAAAACAAAAACAUUUCAGACUGCAAAGCAACAAACUGUGGUUAUGUUAACUUAAAGGGGGUCUGCCUGUCUGUCUGCCUACACACACACACACACACACACAUAUUAAUAAAAAAUGAAAUUAUAAUUGUGGAAUACUUUUUAUCAUGUAUAUCACAUUGAAAAUAAAAGCAAUAUUUUUUAACUAAAAAAAUAAAACUAUUAUUUGACCCAUAAUACAUUAUUUU